UGCUUUUCCAAUCAAGCUAGGAACCUAAGUAGAAAAUAAAUUCUCUUCAAAUGAAGCUAUAGAUCUCAACCUUCUAAUUUAAAUUAACAAUUGAAAUUAUUUAUAAAGUAGUGUUAUCCUACUCGUCUAUUCUGGUUCUGAGAUCAGUUCUGACAUCAAGUACUUCUAGCACUCUCUCGAUCAAGGUUGCGGGAAUUGAGCCGUGAUUCUUCCUACCAAAUCUAACGUCAAUCAACACUGGAUCAACUAACAAUUAAUUAUAAAUCGGUGUUUAUAUUAAUGCAGGGAAUCUGAUUAGACCAAAGUAUAAGUUAAGAAACAUUAGUGAAAUUUUAAAAGGAACAUAUAUACUUUGCUUCAAAGCACCAAAAAUGAAAUUGAAUAUACUUUUCCCUUCCUAAUGACAUAAAACCAUAAUAGAGUGAUGAUGAAUGAAUCUAACAAAAACCAAACACGUACACCUUCUGUUCCCUAUUGACACAAGCAAUCUAAUGAAAGAAAGUUGCUAUAACCAAACCAACCAAUAGAAUUCUAUCAUAUGGGUCCCAUCACUAUCCCAUACCAAUAAAAGUGCUUUCUAAUAUAAACCAACACAUAACCAAUAAAACAAAACCAAAAAUAUUUUUUAUCCAAAAAAAGAGUAAAAGCAACCAACUUGUGUUGUGUGAUCAUCAUCAAAAACAAAAGAGUAAAAGCAACUCCAAAAUUCUUGCUUGUCAAAAACCAUUGAAUCAAAUUUGAAAACAAUCAAACCCAUGUUUGAAAGUUUUCAUUUUUAUUGUUGAAUUGUUGAAUAAAUAAAGAAAAAGAAAAAAAGAAACAAACUUUACUAUAGUAUAGUGAUGAAGUGGUAGUGAACAAAGAUAGCUAGAGAGAGAGAGAGAGAUUCAUAUGAAGAGAAACGUAUAUUGUGGAAGAAAGAGUCAACCUGGGAAAGCCUGGAGAGUUUUUGUUGGAUGGUAUAUUGGAUUGCAUCCAUGAAAUCACAGUUGCACUUUCCUUU
rnacentral:lncRNA from 1 species